rnacentral:rRNA from 1 species
UGGGGGAUAUUGCACAAUGGGGGAAACCCUGAUGCAGCAACGCCGCGUGUGGGAAGACGGUUUUCGGAUUGUAAACCACUGUCCUCAGGGACGAUAAUGACGGUACCUGAGGAGGAAGCUCCGGCUAACUACGUGCCAGCAGCCGCGGUAAUACGUAGGGAGCGAGCGUUGUCCGGAAUUACUGGGUGUAAAGGGUGCGUAGGCGGCUCUGCAAGUCAGUCGUGAAAGCCCGGGGCUUAACCCCGGAACUGCGAUUGAAACUGUGGAGCUUGAGUGAAGUAGAGGUAGGCGGAAUUCCCGGUGUAGCGGUGAAAUGCGUAGAGAUCGGGAGGAACACCAGUGGCGAAGGCGGCCUACUGGGCUUUAACUGACGCUGAGGCACGAAAGCAUGGGUAGCAAACAGG